UAGAAAUGCAGCACUGGUACGGGUACGGAUCCGACGCCUCUCGUAGGAUACUUAGGCUCUCCGUACCCUACUCCUACUCAAAACGUCCCCGACGUACAGAACGGUAACAUGUCUUUCCGCAUAUCUGAGCUUNNNNNN
rnacentral:ribozyme from 1 species